UGGGGAAUUUUGGACAAUGGGCGAAAGCCUGAUCCAGCAAUGCCGCGUGUGUGAAGAAGGCCUUCGGGUUGUAAAGCACUUUUGUCCGGAAAGAAAUCCUUGGCUCUAAUACAGUCGGGGGAUGACGGUACCGGAAGAAUAAGCACCGGCUAACUACGUGCCAGCAGCCGCGGUAAUACGUAGGGUGCAAGCGUUAAUCGGAAUUACUGGGCGUAAAGCGUGCGCAGGCGGUUUGCUAAGACCGAUGUGAAAUCCCCGGGCUCAACCUGGGAACUGCAUUGGUGACUGGCAGGCUAGAGUAUGGCAGAGGGGGGUAGAAUUCCACGUGUAGCAGUGAAAUGCGUAGAGAUGUGGAGGAAUACCGAUGGCGAAGGCAGCCCCCUGGGCCAAUACUGACGCUCAUGCACGAAAGCGUGGGGAGCAAGCAGGAUUAGAUACCCUGGUAGUCCACGCCCUAAACGAUGUCAACUAGUUGUUGGGGAUUCAUUUCCUUAGUAACGUAGCUAACGCGUGAAGUUGACCGCCUGGGGAGUACGGUCGCAAGAUUAAAACUUAAAUGAAUUGACGGGGU
rnacentral:rRNA from 1 species